rnacentral:lncRNA from 1 species
UUGACCCCCACUAUUUUAUAUUGUUUUUGAUAUUUGUUUUAACAUCUGUGAAUGUGUCUCAGCCUUAAGAUGAUUAACCUUAAAUAUUUCAUCUUAGGAAAACCGCAUGUAAAAUAGCAGCCGGUUUCUAAUUUUCUUAUGGUGAGUAAAUUUUCGUUUGAGGGACAUCAGGACAAGUAGGUUGUAAGUAGGUAUUGAGAAUCUAUAUAAGUAAGGUCGUAAUGCUUUAUGGAAGUUAAGCAGAUGUUGAUGCAUGCUGUAAUGGCACUGAAGAAUUUGGUUAAAAUUAAAUAAAGUACAAAGGCGUUGUUGCCAUAAUUUUUUUGUUGUAUUUGCAUGGCUAAUGUAAUGAAGAAUAUGAUGAUAGGACGAGAAAAAGGAAGUAACUGUCCCGGGAAUAAAAGCAAAUAACAAAGCUAGAUGAAUGGGAACUUAAUAUUAUGCUUGUGAUUUCUAUAAAAUAUAUUAUUUAUCCUUUUCCCACUCUUUAAUAUCAUUAUUGUAAUAAAACUCAUAGUUUAUAUAUGUACAUAUAAGAUAGCAAACUAAAGUUAUAUUUUUCUCCUUAUGUGUUAUUUUAUCUUUUUUAUAGUUAGCAGAUUUUUCUAGAUUGCCAAGACACAUCCUUGGACGGUAAAGAGAGACGACCAACAUUUGACGAGAUCAAUAGGUACUAAGCCAGGUGGAAAAAGUCCUGGAAUCGCCUGCGGAUUUUGCAUUUGAGCUACUCCACGAGUGACAAAGAUGGCAGCACACAGUGAAAUAAUUAAGUAGACUGAGACAACAGCUUUGCUUCCCAUCUUAUUGGUUAAUCUUUUUUUUUCCUUGUCCUUUUUAUUUCGGUUAUGCUUAAAAGCUAGGAACAAUCAUUGUUCCUUUCAGUUGUGUGCAGGGGAGUUAGGGAUGAUACGCGCACAAUUGUCCUUGAGGAGAGGAGGGAAGAAAGGAUUCAAAGGAAACAUAUGAGGCCAACAGUUUGCAUCUAAAGUUGAAAACACCUUGCAGCAUGCCGCUUCAACGUUUUCAAAUUUUCCAGAAAAAAAUGAGUUGGAGAUUGCCAGGACACAUCCUUGGACGGUAAAGAGAGACGACCAACAUUUGACGAGAUCAAUAGGUACUAAGCCAGGUGGAAAAAGUCCUGGAAUCGCCUGAGGAUUUUGCAUUUGAGCUACUCCACGAGUGACAAAGAUGGCAGCACACAGUGAAAUAAUUAAGUAGACUGAGACAACAGCUUUGCUUCCCAUCUUAUUGGUUAAUCUUUUUUUUUUCUUGUCCUUUUUAUUUCGGUUAUGCUUAAAAGCUAGGAUGGAUUUUGAUAUGCACAGAUACUAAGAAUAUAUAGGGUGAGGAUACAAAAUUUUAUCAUAUAAAUUAAACAGAAUGUACUGUAUCAGUUUUAGAAUUUCUUUCAAAAUGAAACUCAUGUUUAGGUUAAUGUAUUUUGAGUUACACUUUCUUUCAUGAAGUUGAGUUGACCAAUAUAACUAUAUUAUGGUCAUAUUUACGUUAUCAAACAGAAUAUUGAAAGUUUCUUUUGACCCCCACUAUUUUAUAUUGUUUUUGAUAUUUGUUUUAACAUUUGUAAAUGUGUCUCAGCCUUAAGAUGAUUAACCUUAAAUAUUUCUUCUUAGGAAAACCGCAUGUAAAAUAGCAGCUGGUUUCUAAUUUUCUUAUGGUGAGUAAAUUUUUGUUUGAGGGACAUCAGGACAAGUAGGUUGUAAUAAGUAGGUAUUGAGAAUCUAUAUAAGCAAGGUCGUAAUGUUUUAUGGAAGUUAAGCAGAUGUUGAUGCAUGCUGUAAUGGCACUGAAGAAUUUGGUUAAAAUUAAAUAGAGUACCAAAGCGUUGUUGCCAUAAUUUUCUUGUUGUAUUUGCAUGGCUAAUGUAAUGAAUAAUAUGAUGAUAGAAUGAGAAAAAGGAAGUAACUGUCCCGGGAAUAAAAAAAAAUAACAAAGCUAGACGAAUGGGAACUUAAUAUUAUACUUGUGAGUUCUAUAAAAAAAAUUAUUUAUCCUUUUUCCACUCUUUAAUAUCAGUAUUGUAAUAAAACUCAUAGUUUAUAUAUGUACAUGUAAGAUAGCAAACUAAAGUUGUCUUUUUCUCUUAUGUGUUAUUUUAUCGUUUUUAUAGUUAGCAGAUUUUCUUUUUGAAUAUCUAAAGGUUUUAUGACCAGAAAAUCUUAGGGUGAAAUUCAAACCAUUUAAAAUUAACAGCUUUAAUUUAGAGUUAUGUGUUAUCUUUUCUUGCCCUUGCAUAAACUGACGAGAAAGGAAGAUUAGGACAUAUUUUUCGACCUUUUGAGUCUUCUAAAUCCCUUUUGCGCCAAUUUAUCUGAAAGGACUUUGUUUGAUGUUUCAAUCUUUGUCCGAGUCGUGUUUUCUGAGUUUUAAUUUCCGAUAUGUUAUUUUACAUGGUUAGCCAACUGAGGAUAGAUAACAAACCCAUUUUCGUUGAUGUAUUUGUUAUUAUAUAACUAUAAUGUGACCAAGACACAUUGACAAGAGUUGUAGAUAUUGCUAAAAUUUCACUUUAUUGAGGAAAAGGUAAAUAUAGGGCUCUCCUAAUAAUUGAGUUCACACAUGAAAAACUUAGACAUUGAAGCUAAUAUACUAGUCUAAAACUGUAGACGAACAAUCAUUGUUCCUUUCAGUUGUGUGCAGGGGAGUUAGGGAUGAUACGCGCACAAUUGUCCUUGAGGAGAGGAGGGAAGAAAGGAUUCAAAGGAAACAUAUGAGGCCAACAGUUUGCAUCUAAAGUUGAAAACACCUUGCAGCAUGCCGCUUCAAUGUUUUCAAAAUUUCCAGAAAAAAAUGAGUUGGAUAUUGCCAGGACACAUCCUUGGACGGUAAAGAGAGACGACCAACAUUUGACGAGAUCAAUAGGUACUAAUCCAGGUGGAAAAAGUCCUGGAAUCGCCUGCGGAUUUUGCAUUUGAGCUACUCCACGAGUGACAAAGAUGGCAGCACACAGUGAAAUAAUUAAGUAGACUGAGACAACAGCUUUGCUUCCCAUCUUAUUGGUUAAUCUUUUUUUUUCCUUGUCCUUUUUAUUUCGUUUAUGCUUAAAAGCUAGGAUGGAUUUUGAUAUGCACAGAUACUAAGAAUAUAAAGGGUGAGGAUACAAAAUUUUAUCAUAUAAAUUAAAGAGAAUGUAAUGUAUCAGUUUUAGAAUUUCUUUCAAAAUGAAACUCAUGUUUAGGUUAAUGUAUUUUGAGUUACACUUUCUUUCAUGAAGUUGAGUUGACCAAUAUAACUAUUGUAUGGUCAUAUAUACGUUAUCAAAGAGAAUAUUGAAAGUUUCUUUUGACCCCCACUAUUUUAUAUUGUUUUUGAUAUUUGUUUUAACAUUUGUAAAUGUGUCUCAGCCUUAAGAUGAUUAACCUUAAAUAUUUCUUCUUAGGAAAACCGCAUGUAAAAUAGCAGCUGGUUUCUAAUUUUCUUAUGGUGAAUAAAUUUUUGUUUGAGGGACAUCAGGACAAGUAGGUUGUAAUAAGUAGGUAUUGAGAAUCUAUAUAAGCAAGGUCGUAAUGUUUUAUGGAAGUUAAGCAGAUGUUGAUGCAUGCUGUAAUGGCACUGAAGAAUUUGGUUAAAAUUAAAUAGAGUACCAA